rnacentral:rRNA from 1 species
CAUGCAAGUCGAGCGCCUCGCAAGAGGAGCGGCAGACGGGUGAGUAACGCGUGGGAAUCUACCCAUCUCUACGGAACAACUCCGGGAAACUGGAGCUAAUACCGUAUACGUCCUUCGGGAGAAAGAUUUAUCGGGNAUGGAUGAGCCCGCGUUGGAUUAACUAGUUGGUGGGGUAAUGGCCUACCAAGGCGACGAUCCAUAGCUGGUCUGAGAGGAUGAUCAGCCACAUUGGGACUGAGACACGGCCCAAACUCCUACGG